rfam:Candida tenuis ATCC 10573 unplaced genomic scaffold CANTEscaffold_00022, whole genome shotgun sequence.
GGUCCCUUGGCCUAGUUGGUUAUGGCGUGGUGCUAAUAUCUGCGAGGAAGUUACGCCAAGGUCAGCAGUUCGAUCCUGCUAGGGACCA